rfam:Asian citrus Psyllid, Diaphorina citri - Florida Strain, whole genome shotgun sequence.
GCUCCCAUGGCGUAGUGGUCACUGCGCUCGCCCUGCACGCGGGAGACCCGGGUUCGAUUCCCGGCGGGGUCA